GGUCGUCAUAAGGUGCUGUCCAAGAUCAAAUUAAAGAUAAGGCAAGGUCUUAGUUGCUUGGAUACGAACAGGUGAAGCAGUAAGUCGUUAUGAUUGAUUUUGUGUUUCUGGAGGGUUUUUUGUAUUCAGUGGAUCUACAUAAAUGAUCAACCAGGUUCGAUUUCUGCUCAGAUGGAACGAUUUAAUUUUGGAUGUGGCUGAUUAAAGUUGAAUCAUCAUUAUAUAUAAAUGGUUUGCAAAACGUCUCUAUGUACUUUAGUUGCAAAACUUCGUGAAUUGAAUUUGAGACUGAAGUGGAGAUGUGGCGUUUGGAAGGAAGGAAUGGAGGAUCCUUGGAUAGCAGAUGGUGAAUUUAGCAUUCGGGUCUCAAUCGGAUAAUAUGAUCAUAGCUUUUCCUGAUCUAUAUGAUAAUUCGGCAUCGUUUUGCUUUUGGGUUUACUAAAGGGUGAUUUACUGGUAUGUAGGAAGAGUUGGACAUUGGAUAAGUGCUUGUAAACGUUCAGACUUGAAAACCGACGGUGAACAAAAUCAUUUAAAUCACAAAUGUUUUUAUUCUUUAUAUUUUGAAUUUAUUUACUUAAAUGUUUCUGAAGCUACUGGUAGUGCUAAUAACGAUUACUUUGAAGAAGUUUAUGAGUACUAUGCCAAUGGUGAUGCGUGGCACCUUCCACCUGGCGUGUAUAAGACUAUAUUAACUCUGAAAGAGUCCGGAGACAAAACUUGCAAGAAAUUCUGGAUACUGUUAUGGGAGAUCUCAAAAACAAGUUAUUGUUCACUUGGGAUCAAGAACACUGCACAGAUUCAGGUUUCAUGUGUCUGGAAAACCAAGAUAAGCCGCUGUUCUUGAAAGAACUUAGUCAUAUAUGGGAGAAAAAGUACCAGAAUCUUCCGUGGAGUGAUGGAGAAUAUUCGGCUUCCAACACGCCGUUGGUCACCUAUCCUGAGAAGGCCCUUCUAAAUCCUGUAUGACGUCAUAUAUGAAUGUAUAUCUCAAAUGGGUCGCCAAAACAUUUAGGUUAAGAACUGGUGGGUAAAAUGGGUUGAACGGG
rnacentral:lncRNA from 1 species